CCGGGCUUGGCAGAGGUCGUGUGGCCUGGGAGGCAAAGCCACCAUGGAACCAGCUCCCUGCGUUUACCAGGAGGGCCCCGUUCUCUGUGGUGGGGCAGGUGCAGCCGUGGCUCUCAGGGCCCAGGAAGCAGCAAUGCCCCAGAAACAGGCUGCACUGUCCAGUUGGGCUCCAGAGUGACCAUGACGUGGUGAACAGAGCAGCAGCCAACCUGUG